UGAAGCUGGAUUCGCUAGUAAUGGCAGGUCAGCAUACUGCCGUGAAUACGUUCCCCGGGCCCUUGUACACACCGCCCGUCACACCAUGAGAGUUGGGAAUACCCGAAGCCUGUGAGCUAACUUAUAGAGGCAGCAGUCGAAGGUAGAAUCAAUGAUUGGGGUGAAGUCGUAACAAGGUAUC
rnacentral:rRNA from 1 species